GACGAACGCUGGCGGCGUGCUUAACACAUGCAAGUCGAACGGAGUGGCGAACGGGUGAGUAACACGUGGGUGAUCUGCCUUGCACUUCGGGAUAAGCUUGGGAAACUGGGUCUAAUACCGGAUAGUGCAAGAUGAGCUCGCGGCCGAUCAGGUUGUUGGUGGGGUAAUGGCCCACCAAGGCGUCGAAGGGUAGCCGGCCUGAGAGGGUGUACGGCCUCAUUGGGACUGAGAGACGGCCCAGACGCCUACGGGAGGCAGCAGUGGGGAAUAUUGCACAAUUGGCGGAAGCCUGAUGCAGCGACGCCGCGUGUGGGAUGAAGGCCUUCGGGUUGUAAACUCCUUUCGACAGGGACGCGGUACCUGUAUAAGAAGCACCGGCUCACUACGUGCCAGCAGCCGCUAAUUC
rnacentral:rRNA from 1 species